GGAAAUCUCACCACAGAUCUGGUUAACGAACCGGGUGGACAUCAUAAAGGAGGGUGGAGACUCUUUAUACUAACUUGAAUGAGACAAAAGCAGUGGUGUUAGUUUAUAAGCCUGAUGCAUUUCAGUAAUAAUGUAGAUGGCUUGUAAAUGAUUUGUAUGUGAUACUGUCCACUAAAAUCACUUAACAAUUCUACAAUCAGCUUCUGCCUGCCGCUUGCUCUCUGCCAGAAUAACAUCGAAUUAGAAUCUCCUCAUCUCUUGCUUGUUAGCGAUGUCUGAUUAUCUUAUGUACAUGUACUCUCAUUUGGGUUUUUGUAAUCAUCCUUUUCAAACCAAAAUUUUAGAAUCCCUUUUUUUCUUCCUGUUUUGCUGUCGUCACGGGUGAUCCUCA
rnacentral:lncRNA from 1 species